rnacentral:rRNA from 1 species
CACGUAGGGGGCAAGCGGUGUCCGGAUGCAUUGGGCGUAAAGAGCUCGUAGUCGGUUCGAUAAGGCGGGUGGGAAACCUCCAGGCUCAACCUGGAGACGCCACCCGAUACUGUCGUGACUAGAGUCCAGUAGGGGAGCGUGGAAUUCCUGGUGUAGCGGUGAAAUGCGCAGAUAUCAGGAGGAACACCAGCGGCGAAGGCGGCGCUCUGGGCUGGAACUGACGCUGAGGAGCGAAAGCGUGGGGAGCGAACAGG